rnacentral:lncRNA from 1 species
GAUCCGCCCACCUCAGCCUCCCAAAGUGCUGGGAUUACAGGCAUAAGCCACCACACCUGGCCAGCAGAAGAAAUUUCUCAGCAGCAAAGCAUUGAAGUUGUGGCAUGGCUGCUUCUGACAGCCUAACUUAAAUGUGGGAGCAAAGAAAUGACUUAAAGUUGGAAUUUAUAUUUAAACAGGAAGCACAGCAUAAAAGUUUGAAAAAUUUGCAGCCUGGCUAUGUGGCAAAGAAAGAAAAAGCUUUUUCAGGAGAGGAAUUCAAGCAGGCUGUGGAGAGCCACCAUUUGCUAGACAAAUUUGCUUGACUAAAAAGGACCCAAGAACUAAUUCCAAAGACAAUGGGAAAAAGACCUCAAAGGCAUUUUAGAGACCUUCAUGGCAGCCUCUCCCAUUAUAUGCCCAGUGGCCUAGGAGGGAAGAAUGGUUUCCUGGACCAAGCCCAGGGCCCUGCUGCCCUGCACAGCCUUGGGACACUGCUUCCCACAUCCAGGCUGCUCCACCUCUACCCACAGCUCAAAGGGGCCCAAGUACAGCUUGGGCUGCAGUUCCAGAUGGUGGAAGCCAAAAGCCUUGGUGGCUUCCAUGUAGUGUUAAGCCUGCGGUGUACAGAGCACAAGACUUGAGGUUUGCCACCCUCCACCUUGAUUUCAGAGGAUGUAUGGACAAGUCUGGGUGUCCAGGCAGAAGACUGCUGCAGGGGUGGAGCCUUCACAGAGAACCUCUACUAGGUCAAUGCCAAGGGGAAUUGUAAGGUUGGCACACUGAUAUGGUUUGGCUGUGUCCCCACACAAAUCUCACCUUGAUUUGUAACAAUCUCCACGUGUCAAAGGUGGGGCCAGGUGGAGAUAAUUAAAUCGUGGCAGUGGUUUCCCUCAUACUAUUCUAGUGGUAGUGAAUAAGUUCCCUGAGAUCUGAUGGUUUUAUAAAUGGGAGUUGCACUGCACAAGCUCUCUUGUCUGCUGCCAUAUAAGAUUUGACUUUGCCCCUCAUUUGCCUUCUGCCAUGGUUGUGAGCCCCACCCCACGGUGGAACUGUGAGUCAAUUAAACCCCUUUCCUUUAUAAAUUACCCAGUCUCGGGUAUGUCUUUAUUAGCAGUGUGAGAACAGAUUAAUACACAUUCCCCACACAGAGUUCCCAAUGGGGCACACUGCCUAGUGGAGCUGUGAGAAGAGGGCCACCAUCCUCCAGAUCCAAGAAUGGUAGAUCCAACAGCAGCUUGCACCCUGUGCCUGGCAAAGCCACAGGCACUCAACUCGAGCCCAUGAGAGCAGUCAUGGGUGAUGAAUCCUGCAAAGCCACAGGGACAGAGCUGCUCCAUGCCUUGGGAGCCCACCCACUGCACCGGUAUGCCCAGCAUAUGGGACAUGGAGUCAAAGAUUAUGUUAGAGCUUUAAGAUCUAAUGACUGCCCUUCCAGCUUUCAAACUUGCAUGGGGCCUGUAGCACCUUUCUUGUUGGCUGAUUUCUCCAUUCUGAAAUGGGAAUGUUUAUCCAAUGCUUGUACUAUAACUGUCAGGCCUCACAGGAUAGCUUUUCAGGAAAUUGUAACCAUGCUGUGUAGGCAGAAUUCUGAGAUGACUGCCCAAGAUUCCCAAUCCUUGGCUAUUCAAUCAAACACUAAUCUAGGCACUAUUUUGAAGGGAUUUUGCAGAUGCAAUUAAGGCACUAAACAGUUGAUCUUAAGAUGGGGAAAUUAUCCUGGUCAUCACAUGAGCCAUUUAUAAGUAGAGAGAUUCCUUUAGCUGGCAAAAGAAGUCAGAGACUCAAAGCAUGGGAUGGUUCAAUGGGCCAUUGCUGGUAUUGAAUAUGGAGGGGUCCACAUGGAAAGGACUUGAGAGCAGCCUCGAGAAGCUAAGAGUGGCCCCUGACUGAUAGUCAGCAAGGAAACAGGGACCUCAGACCUAUAACUGCAAGGAACUUGAUUCUACCUAUAGCCUAAAUGAGCUUGGAAGCAGAUUCUCCUCACAGUCUCAAGAUAAGUCCUUAAUCUAGUGGAUAUUUUAAUCUUGACCUUGUAAGACUCUGAGCAAAGAACCCAGUCAAGCUUGCCUGUACUUCAAUAGAAAACUAAUACAUACACUUAAGGAAACUUGAGUGUGUGGGGAGGGGGUUGGGGUGGCUUAUAAGUAAUGUUACCAAACAUGCUAAUGGUAAACUUUUGUAUAAAAAGGCCUAUGAGCUAGCUGGAUACCCUGCUUCUCUCUGAUAGGACUAACUCCAUAUAGUUCAUGAGUCUUUUGAGCAGAUGUAGUUCGUAAUAAAUCCGAUACUCCAUUUGGUCUAUGUAAUUACUGAUCUUCUUUGUUUCUCUAUACUUUGAACACCUUGGGCAAAGAGAUAGAACACCUUGUUCUAGAAAUAGAACAAAGGGUCAGUAAACUUCAGAAUACCAUCAAGUGGCUGUCUGUCAAGUACCAGUUUUCAUCUUUGUGAAACUUCAAGUGUUACCUAUCACUGCUUAACUCCUUAACCAACUCAUUUGAGAGAAACCUAUUUCAUCUUGUCCUAAAGAUAUUCAGAUAUUCCGGAUCUUGUGUUUAAGCACAGCUCCUGCCAGAUAUUCCAACUUCAGCCAUUUCUUCAACUCUUGGUUUUUCAGAUGGAGGAAAAGUUUUGAACUACCUGUUGGUAGUUGCAGCUAUUUACCAACUGCUUACCAUGUUCCAGAAAAUGCUAGGUGCUUUAUUUAUAUUGUCUCAUUUAAUCUUCACAAUAACCCUAUGAGGAAAUAUAAUUAUCCUCAUUUUACAAAUGAGAAAACAGGCACAAAGAGGUUAGAUAUUUUGCUUAAGGCCAUAAGAUUCAGAGUUAGGAUCAAGCUUCCAUCUCUCUGAUUCUAAAAUCUCUGUCAAAUCAUCAUUCAACACCGUGUCCUAGUUUAUGGACAGCAUAUCAAUGAGCAGGUGUUCAUUCACUUCUUAAAUAUGCCUAAUUGCCUCUGAAAACCUUUCAACAAACAUUUGUGAACACCCAUAUCCUAGUCUAGGAACAAUAUAUAAAAACAGAGACCCGGAAGUUGUGGGAGGAAGCCAGGAAGUCAGCCCAGAAUGGAGUUGGGGCAUUGGUUUCCGGGCUGGGGUUAGAAUAGGCCACAAGGUUCUACUGCAGUCUCAAGGCCUAAGACAAAGGACAAAUCUAAAGAUUCAUCAAGAGACAGAAAUCGCUCAUAGGAAUCAUGAGCUCAUUGGAGAGUCAGACCAAAGUAUGGGGAAAGAGCGGUAAACGAGGCAGGGAACACCAGACCCCAUCACAGGGUCAGAACCUGAGACAAGCCUGCAUGGCAGGGUUCCCCACGGCAAACCCCUGAAACAUCUACAGGGAUGACAAUGGGUUACUAGUAACAACAGCUAACUCAUAAUGAGUGCCCCUUAGGUCCAGUUGUAAGUAUUUGAUCUCAUUUGACCUUCACAACAAUCCUAUGAGGUAGGAACUACUAGAAUUUUCAAUUUAAGGAUAAGGAAACUGAAAUCAGAAAGGUUAACAAUGUUCCAAAAAUUACACAACUAGUUAGUGACAUACUCAGUAUUCAAACUGCAUUGGACCCAAAGCCCACAUAUGUGAACGCUAUUCUCCACUAAUGCACAUGAGGACCUAGAGGGCUGAGUUGAAAGAUUUGUGAGGCCACAUCCACCAAAGAAUGUGAUGGACAUAGACCUGACAAAGCACUCUCAAGAAGCUUUCAGACAUCAAGAUAGAGAUCUAGGAGCACAGAUAAGAGAACAGUUGAUGGGUCGGGUGCGGUGGCUCAGGCCUGUAAUCCUAACACUUUGGGAGGCUGAGGCGGGCAGAUCAUGAGGUCAAGAGAUGGAGACCAUCCUCGUUAACACGGUGAAACCCGUCUCUAUUAAAAAUACACAAAUUAGCUGCGCCAGGUAGCAGGUGCCUGUAGUCCCAGCUACUCGGGAGGCUGAGGCGGGAGAAUGGCGUGAACCCAGGAGGCGGAGGUUGCAGUGAGCCGAGAUCGUGCCACUGCACUCCAGC